CAAUAGCGUAUAUUAAAGUUGUUGCAGUUAAAAAGCUCGUAGUUGGAUUUCUGAUGUCUUUUCUUUACUUUUCUUUGCUCGCCAAGUGCGGGUGUUAAGUUUGAUGGAUAUCUUCUUUCUCCACAAAUUUGGCGUUGACGCAUUAAUUUGCAUCGGCGUUAAAUGGGGAUCAUUUACUGUGAAAAAUUAGAGUGUUCAAAGCAAGUAUUAAUUUCUUGAAUACAUUAGCAUGGAAUAAUAAGAUAGGACUUGGGUACUAUUUUGUUGGUUUGCAUACCUAAGUAAUGAUUAAUAGGAACAUAUUGGGGAUAUCUGUAUUUUUUAGUCAGAGGUGAAAUUCUUGGAUUUAAGAAAGACAAACUACAGCGAAAGCAUUUAUCAAGGAUGUUUUCAUUGAUCAAGAACGAAAGUUGGGGGAUCGAAGACGAUUAGA
rnacentral:rRNA from 1 species